rnacentral:lncRNA from 10 species
GUCUGUGCUUCAAACUCCUUAUUCCACAGGAGGAAACCAAGACCCAAAAAAGAAAUAUGACUUAAAGAGCUGGUUAGCAGCUGACAGGACUAGAUUCGGGUCUCUUUACAGUACUGUUUCCAAUAGGCCACACUUCUUCAGCUUGAUGCACCACUUCAGUGUCUUUACAAGAAAGGAUGUCUAAGCACUGUAACUUCUUUCAAGGCAGAGUCCUGGUCUUUUGAUGUUCCUCAAGAUCCUGUCUUUGGCUCUCUUAUUCUGACACAUUCACAC